AUUUUUUUUUUUUAUUCUCUUUGCUCUUUUGUCCUACCUGGAUGGAUGCUGCCUAACACCUUGUUUCCUGGCUAGGAGGUUCAUGCUGCCAUAUCCCCCUGUUUAACAAGUGUGGAAACUGAUAAUGGACUCACAAUUGCUGAUGUAUAGGUUCUAAUGUUUUCUAUUGUGGACACGGGACACCCAGACUGAGGUUCGUGGAUUUUUGAAAUUUCUAAUAAUAAGAUAAAUUUGUGACUUAAUUUUGAGUGGAUGAACUUGAUUUGUUGUGGUUAUAUUGUUCAGUUAGUAUGUAAGUAAAUAUACAAAUAAAUGAAAAAGGGGUUGGCCAACUAUCAAUGUAUAGAGCACAUUGAUAGCAAAGUUGUUUACAUAACUUACACUUUUAGUCCUUAAAUACCAUACGAAUUGAGCAUGUUUUAUCUCUCCUUCUGAGAUCAUUAAAUGGGUCAUUAAAUAUAGGGACUAUAAGCAACUGUCAAUAUUGAUUAGGGUAGUUCAAUGUUAACAUUGUUGAUUUUUGAAGCUUUAUUAUGAACUUGGAAGCAAAGGCGCCACACACUGAAAUUAAGGAGAUCCAAAGACUUACUUUGAUAAUAGAAAAUUCAUAGCGAUUAUCAUAGGUUCAUAUGAUAUCACAUUAAUUGUUAUGCAAAACUUAUUCUUGUGAGUUCUCAAAGGUAGUUAUCCUCUCUAUUCAUCCCACAGAACCAAUGGCUCCAGUCUGAUUUAAACAUGGGUCCGUGCUCACACACUCAAUACCUACCCUCUGUGCUCACAAGUCCUGUGUGAGUAAGACUCCAAAUUAUUCUGUCUUGUUUUACUCAAUGGUAUGCUCUACCUUAUUAUAGAGUAUACCAUGUAUUGAGACAAGAAUGCCAGUCAUUCUGAGAAACAAAAUGCAACCAUUAGUUGUCAUUUUAAUUAGUGACGAAUAGUUGUGUCAAUCAUCAAACAUGCUUGUAUAAUUGGAUGAGAAGAGGUGUAACACGGGCCAAUGAUGACGAGGUUUCGGGAUUAUAAGUCACGGACGAUGACUACGUCACUAGAGGUCUGAGGUCCAUAGCAGAAGAUGCCUCAUGUGACCCUCUCAUGCAGGGGUUGCAUGUCAGGCAUGUGCAUACAGUAGAUAUUAGCCAUGCACUCUCACCAUUUCAUAGUAGAUCACAGAAUCAAGAUACAAAUCUCCAUGCACGGAAAGGAUUUAAGGCAUUGAUCAAUCCUGAACAUAAAUAUUUGGCCAUCAAUGAUAUUUACGCACACACUGAAAAAUCUAUUCAGAAUGACUUACACAAAGGUUUAUAUAACCUUUAUCAAAGGUAAUUUAUAUAGUAAGAUUCAUGGCUGAAGUCUUCAUGAUGGUCAAGGCCUUAAUUUUUAAAAUUAUCAAUUUUUUUCUUUUCUUUUUUUUUAACUUGAAUUUUUUUUUAAUGAAAACUAUCAUGACAAUUUGUCUCUUAAAUGAAAGGAGAAAUGUAAAACUAAAUGGACAAAUAUCAACCUUUUUAUUAUCUUUGCUGUUGUGCCCUCCCUGGAUGGGUGCUGGCACAUGAUGUCUUGCCUGCUGGUCCGUGGUUGCACUCUCACCAUGUGGAUGGAGCUCGGCAGCUGAAGUAAGUGAAGCC
rnacentral:lncRNA from 1 species